AGAAUCAACGCUGGCGGCGUGCCUAACACAUGCAAGUCGAACGCGAAAGGGGAGCAAUCCCUGAUUAGAGUGGCAAACGGGUGAGUAACACGUGGGCGACCUGCCUUCGAGUGGGGGAUAACCUUCCGAAAGGAGGGCUAAUACCGCAUGACAUACCGUGUUUGGAUACACGGAUAUCAAAGCCGGGGAUCGCAAGACCUGGCGCUUGAAGAGGGGCCCGCGUCCGAUUAGCUAGUUGGUGUGGUAACGGCUCACCAAGGCUCCGAUCGGUAUCCGGCCUGAGAGGGCGGACGGACACGACUGGAACUGAGACACGGUCCAGACUCCUACGGGAGGCAGCAGUGGGGAAUUGUUCGCAAUGGGCGAAAGCCUGACGGAGCAAUACCGCGUGAGGGAGGAAGGUUUUGGAUUGUAAACCUCUUUUGUUAAGGAAGAAAAAAUGAACGGUACUUAACGAAUAAGCAUCGGCUAACUCCGUGCCAGCAGCCGC
rnacentral:rRNA from 1 species